GAGCGCCUGUGAGGGGUACAGCACGGAUCCUGGACCGGGCUCAGCAUAUGAGACCGUGUCCGGCUUUGCAGGCAGUCAUCCGAUGUACGGCCCUGUGUACGUAAACUUUACGUUUCAAAAUAUUCCU
rnacentral:sRNA from 12 species